UACGGAGGGGACUAGCGUUGUUCGGAAUUACUGGGCGUAAAGCGCACGUAGGCGGAUUUGUAAGUCAGGGGUGAAAUCCCGGGGCUCAACCUCGGAACUGCCUUUGAUACUGCAAAUCUCGAGUCCGGAAGAGGUGAGUGGAGUUCCUAGUGUAGAGGUGAAAUUCGUAGAUAUUAGGAAGAACACCAGUGGCGAAGGCGGCUCACUGGUCCGGUACUGACGCUGAGGUGCGAAAGCGUGGGGAGCAAACAGG
rnacentral:rRNA from 1 species